rnacentral:sRNA from 1 species
UAAUCCCGGUUGCGACCGGGGUUACCUAGCCAACUGACGUUGUUAGUGAAUGAUUUUGUUCACACUUUAUUUGAGCCAAUCGCGGUUAUUGCGGUUGGCUUUUUUUCU